CAACAUCUUCUUACACAGUGAGAACAUGUAAACAAUUAUUCAGAGUUCGUUGAAGAACAUGAGUUCCAUGGAGGGAAGUGUCAUGAAGUACCCAGAGCCUGCAAGAGGGAGCACCGAAGCCAGCAGUGCUAAGACGUCAUGGCCGGAGGUGGUCGGGAUGUCCGCCAAGAAGGCCAAAGAGAUCAUCCUCCGGGACAAGCCCGAUGCCCAGAUCGAGGUCAUCCCGGUCGAUGUGCAGGUGACCCAGGACUUAAAUCUCAACCGUGUCCGCAUUGUCGUUGCCGUUGCCCGCACCCCUAUGGUUGGCUAGCAAGCUUGAUGUGCAUGGAUGAUAAAUAACUACGUAAUGGUGAAAUAAAUACAUGUUGAGUACCAGUGUAUCAUGGAUGAACUUUCCAUUUGGUAUACCUAUAUUAUGGAGGAAUAAAGACAUGCUGAGCAUCAGCAUGCCAUGGAUGUACUUUCCGUUUCAUCUGGUUUAGCUCUUACUAGGCAUGGAAUGCAGCCUUGCGGCCAACAUGUGUAUUGGUAUGUUAAAUCUAAGGUUUGAUCAACAACUAAUAUUAUUAGUUGGUAAUUUUAUCAUA